GUCACGUGCUGGCUACGUCAUUCGAAAUGGAUGCCAUGGAAGGCAUUCAUGUUUCAGUUGCUCUCAACUUUGUGUCGUGUUUUGUCGUGCAUCGUGAAGUUUUGAAUUAUCCAUGCCAGCACAAAAGUUCGUAGAUAAACAUUCUUUAAAAAUACUAAACAUGGAGCCUUCUGGCAUUCCAUCUAACAAUUCUCAUCAACACUUAAUGAACGGUGAUGACGGAGACAGUGUUGACACAAUAGUUCCACCGUUAUCAGCUGAAUCACGCGAAGGCGCCAAAGACAACAGGACGAUUCGCUCUAUUUCAUUUCGGGAAUGGAUAACUGUUGCUGUUCUGUGCUAUGUCAACCUUAUCAACUACAUGGAUCGGUAUACGAUAGCAGGUAUACUGGAUCAGAUCCGCACACACUUCAAUAUCUCUGAUGACAAGGUGGGUCUACUGCAGACAGCGUUUGUGCUGUCCUACAUGCUAUUUGCACCCCUCUUCGGCUAUCUGGGCGACCGCUACAGUCGCCGCGCCAUCAUGGCCGCUGGGGUAUUCCUAUGGAGCCUCACCACGCUAUUGGGCUCCUAUAUGGAUAACUAUUACUGGUUCCUGUUCUUCCGAGGAUUAGUCGGAGUGGGGGAAGCGAGUUACUCGACGAUAGCUCCGACGAUCAUCAGUGACCUGUUCAUCAAGGAUAUGCGAUCCAAGAUGUUGGCACUCUUUUACUUCGCCAUACCUGUCGGAAGUGGUCUGGGAUACAUAGUUGGCGCAAAGACAGCGGACGCAAUGGGCAUGUGGCAAUGGGCACUGCGCGUGACCCCAUUCAUGGGCGCACUGGCUGUCAUCCUCAUCCUGCUGCUGAUGCAGGACCCGGCCAGGGGGCAGAGCGAGGGUCGCACUCACCUCACUGCCAGCUCCUGGUCGAACGACAUUGCUCACAUCACCAGCAAUGCAAGUUUCAUGCUGUCGACAGCUGGAUUCACGUGUGUGGCAUUUGUAACUGGUGCCAUGGCAUGGUGGGGUCCGCAGUUCAUCUACUAUGGAAUCAAACUUCAACCUGGAAGAGAAAAUACCACGCUAUCAGACGUGGCGUUCAACUUCGGUGUGAUCGCGAUGGUGGCGGGCCUGAUAGGGGUGCCACUGGGUUCGGCCCUGGCCCAGUACCUGCGGCCGCGCUUCCCCAAGGCUGACCCCCUCAUCUGCGCCUUUGGCCUCCUCCUCAGCGCACCUCUCCUCUUCGUCGCCUCCCUCUGCGCCGGAUCCAAUGUCAACGUCACCUAUGUCCUCAUAUUCUUCGGACAGAUAUUCCUCAACAUCAACUGGUCCAUUGUCGCUGAUAUCCUUCUCUAUGUGGUUACCCCAACAAGAAGAUCAACAGCGGAAGCAUUUCAAAUAUUGCUGUCUCAUGCGUUAGGAGAUGCAGGCAGUCCGUAUCUAGUAGGAUUGUUAUCAGAGAUGUUCAAGAAGUCAUUAUCGAUGGCUCCGGCGGCGGGGAUGGCUGUGAUGGGGGUGGGGGUGGCUACGUCGUACACGCCCUACAGUCCGAAGGUGGAGUUCCACAGUCUGCAGUAUGCGCUGUUCACCACCAGCUUUGUCGAGGUGCUGGGAGGCGGUUUCUUCCUGCUCACCAGUCUCUACGUCAUCCAGGACAGGGCAACUGCCGAACGUGAUCUGUCGGAAAAAAUUUGUGAAGUAUGAGUUGGUUUAGAGGAAGCUCCCCCUCUAGGAUUAGCCAAGGAUUUUAUUCGACUAUUCAUAGGGCAAGACAACCCAGCUCAUCCGACGCAUCUUUACGCGGAUGAUCCCCACCUAAGAGAAAGUGUUCCUGAACUCGUUACACCUUAGAACUAAAGACCCUCGCAUUACAAUUACUGCUCUCCUCUCACCCAUUCAUCUUCUCUCUCUCUCUCUCUCUCUCUCUCUCUCUCACUCACGAAUGCGCCAUAUCUCUCAAUCUCUUAGACUGAACGGUUGAGAUUGACCAAAUCUAGGUUUAUUCCUAUUAGUCUUUGUGUAAAUAAGAUCUUUCUCACAUAUUAAAUAUGUAAAUAAUAGAUUAUUAUUCUCUAGCUUUAAUUUAUUUAAUUUGAAUAAAUUAUUUUAUUGGAUUUAUUAUUUGAAUAAUUAAUUCAUUCUGUAGACCAUAAUAUAUAAACAGCUAUUUUGUUGAGUUGAUAAGCUCGUGUUAUCUCCAUUCCAUUCUAUGUUUGGGAUGGAGAUGAUUCUGAUUCAAGGUUUUUGGAAACUCGGUUGAUUUUACCGAAAUAUCUUCUUAUAAUGAAGUUGAUAUUCAGCGUGUCAAAGUAAGCCCAGAUUUUGUUGAAUCAUUAACAUUUCUGAAUUUAUUCGUCUUCACUUCAAUUCAAGAUCGGAAAAUCAAUAAAUGGUACCGUAUUCAAAAUUUGAAUGAAAGUACUAAAAGUUUUAAUAAAUUUAUAAAAAAAUGUCAAUUUACAGUAUUUCGAUUUUCAAUUUUAAAUUCAAAAAGGUUGUGGAAUAUAUUUGGUGGUUUAACCAUUCCAUUAAUGUGUAGUUUCGUGUUUUGAAAAAUGUAUAUAUUCAUUCAAUCUUUUAUCUACAAAAUUCUUGAUAUAUAUGUUAAUAUGUUGCAACUACUUAUUUAAGAUGAUUGAUGAAUUGUAAUGAUGUUUCAAGUAAUUCCUUCGUGAUGUAAUUCUGUGAAUUAUCAAUAUGAUUCAUAUUUAAAAUUCUGACAUGAUACUUCAAGAGACAUUAUAACGAUAAUUCAACACUUUCGACUAUUAUACACAACAUUGUCUAUGACUCACACCAUACAAAAUUCAUUAGAAAGUAUUUACAUGUUUUACCUUGCAUUUUUGAAACUUUCGUUUUGGAAGAAUUGAAUGCUUGAGUUUGUUCUUUUAUUUUUUUAAAUGAAGAAGCUAACAUUCUUGGACCAAAUUUUUUCAACUAAGUUGUUUUUUAUAGUGGUGGUUCAAAAUAAUAUCACACGGAUAUGAAAAUAAAAAUUGUUUUUAUAUUAUUCCAUGAUGGUUUAACCCACUUAUAAGAAUAUCUUAAGAAAAUCAUUUGCGGUAUCUAAAACUCGGUGAAACACAUCACGCUGCACUGUGAGACUGUUUGUACUGUAUUAAAAAUAUUUCCAAUUUUUACAGAAGGGAUUUUGAAAACCAUAAAAUUUUCAUCAAUCCUAUCGUUGUCUGAAUCUUGUUUUUCUCCUGUAUUUUUUAUAAUUCAUCAAUAAAUGUGAGCUCAUUAUAAAAACAUGAAGCCAUGGUGGGUCCUGUUCUCAUUCUUUAAAUUUCUUUAUAGUUGAAUCUGAAGUAAUAUUUUCGGAUGACAUAAGAUCUUCAAUUUCUUCAUCUACAAGUAGAUUAAUUAAUACAACGAAUAAGACCAAAAAUAGAUAUAUGUUGUGAAUAUUUAUUAGAAUAGUUUAAGGAAUUUUUAAAUCAACCUAAAACCUGAACAAGCGAUAAUAAGGAUAUUAUUCCACCUGAUAAUAUUAUACAGUAAUAAUGAAUCAAUCAAUGUAUCUAUAUUUUCAUCAAAUAAUUCUCCAUGAGAAGAUAAUAGAUGCAUUGUUUUGCUCUAUCACUCGAAUCACGACUCUAUAAAUUACGUCAUUUUAUCAUGAAAUAUAAAUUUCUAAAUUUCAUACAUGAAUAUUCCAUUGUAUUACAUUAUAAUUGAACAAUUUUUUGAUCCUGAAUAACCUGUACGAUGUAAAUAUCAGAAUUACUAGUUAAUAUUUUUAAAAAAGGUUUGUGUUUAGGAGAUGGUUAGAUGUGCAAUAUUGAAUUUUUUGAGAACAAUUAUAUUUACUUGCUAUAAGUUGAAUUAGUUUAAAAAAGCUAUAGAUCUUUCUAAAACUUCAAAAUACUUUAUAUUCUACGAUUUCUAGAUUCAACUAAUGUUAGAAUUUCCUAUUUUUUCAAUCAAAAGUUAAUUUUAGUUUAUUCUAUUGAAACAACAUACAGUAGUCAAAAUAUCAAAAUUAAUAUCAUAAGAGCUGAUAUUUUAAAUUAAUAUUUUGAUGACUUGCAUAUUAGACUUCAAUUAUAAUAUUAUUACUCAAUCAAAAUAUCGUAGUUUUUAAUUUAUUUACUCAAUGUGAUGCACAGUUUUAUUAAUAAAGACGUGACACAUUCUUUGUUGACAUAAUAAUUGAAUUUAUCAAGUUUGUUAAAAAUUCCUUUGUACAAAACCCUCUCUCAAACCUAAUUCCAAGGGCCAAGUCAAAUUCCAUUCUAAACUUUUAUUAUUACUAAUUCUGUUUUAGUAAAAUAUUUCAAAUGAUGUUUGAGUAUUUUCAUGCCAUUUUUGUACAACUCAAAAAAAAUCAGAGCUCCCGGUAAAUUUUUAUCCAAAUUUUAAUGUAUUGAGUCAAAAAUGGCUGUUUAUUGGUUAAAUUAAGACUGUUUAAUGUAAAUUAACCAUCUAGUUUUUAUCUAGAUUGUAAAUUAUGAUGAUGAUGAUGAUGAUAAUAAUAGACUUCUUACCAUGUAAAUAAAUAACUUUAUUGAUUUGUGAUUUUCUUUGCCAUUGAAUGUUUGUAUUUUAUUACUUAUUGGAAAAUGUCCUGCAGAGUCCAUGUUGUAUGUUUUAUAGUGUAUGUUGCAUAGAUGUAAUAUAGUUAAUAUAUUCGUUGCUAUUUGAAAUUAAUCUCUAUUGUAAUACUGUAAAAUUUAUAUGUGUGCUAGGUAUAUGGUAAUGAUUGAAUGUUUUGACGAACAUUAAAUGGAUUUAU
rnacentral:misc_RNA from 1 species